CUCAAUAUCUUCACUCAACUCAUUAACUGCCCGAAGGUAUUUAUUUAUUUUCUUAUAUUUGUCAGUGGAAUUCCAAGAAUUUAGUUUCCUGUUUUUUGUUUUUUUUAUUGGGUUCAGACUGUAUUCAGAUUGUAUUCUGCCCAAUUAUGUUCCCCUACUCCCUACUCCUUUUUUCUCAAUUAUAUUUUCCACUUUUCUCAGACAAUUAGACACCAAUAAUGACUUGUAUUUGCAGUGUAAUUUGCAUUUGUGUGUUAUAUGUGAAUCCUUCCUUCCGCUGUAUUUUCUCAGGGAAUUCAGAUACCUCCACAGCCCGAGCAGACAAAGUUAAGUGUCAAACUCCUCGUGGCUCCGGUCAUUGUGUCUCCUGCUGAGCGGUGUGUGUUACGUCCCACACGUCACCGUUGCACCCUGAGAU